rnacentral:rRNA from 1 species
UACAGAGGGGGCAAGCGUUGUUCGGAAUUACUGGGCGUAAAGGGCGCGUAGGCGGCCUUCUAAGUCGAAUGUGAAAUCCCCGGGCUCAACCCGGGAACUGCGUCCGAUACUGGAAGGCUUGAAUCCGGGAGAGGGAUGCGGAAUUCCAGGUGUAGCGGUGAAAUGCGUAGAUAUCUGGAGGAACACCGGUGGCGAAGGCGGCAUCCUGGACCGGUAUUGACGCUGAGGCGCGAAAGCCAGGGGAGCAAACGGG